ensembl:misc_RNA
UUGAAUGUAGUCAAUAACAAACUCAUAGGCUUACUCACUGGACAGUUACAGACACAGCGCUGAUAGUGGAAAUUCCUCUGUGGUAUCCUGUUAAUGUGCUUCAAUUCUGACCUGAAAGAUCCUUUAUGGCUGACAGGAUAGUUUAAUUUUCAUGCCCAUUCAAUCUUUGGCCUCU